rnacentral:rRNA from 1 species
UACGAAGGGUGCAAACGUUGCUCGGAAUCAUUGGGCGUAAAGCGCACGUAGGCGGCUUGCCAAGUCGGACGUGAAAUCCCUCAGCUCAACUGAGGACGUGCAUCCGAAACUGGCGAGCUUGAGUACUGAAGAGGAUCGCGGAAUUCCCGGUGUAGAGGUGAAAUUCGUAGAUAUCGGGAGGAACACCGGUGGCGAAGGCGGCGAUCUGGGUAGAUACUGACGCUGAGGUGCGAAAUCGUGGGGAGCAAACAGG